rnacentral:misc_RNA from 1 species
GAUGAAGAACGCAGUGAAAUGCGAUAAGUAGUGUGAAUUGCAGAAUUCAGUGAAUCAUCGAAUCUUUGAACGCACAUUGCGCCCCUUGGUAUUCCAUGGGGCAUGCCUGUUCGAGCGUCAUUUGUACCUUCAAGCUUUGCUUGGUGUUGGGUGUUUGUCCAUUCUCUUGCAGAGGGACUCGCCUUAAAGUAAUUGGCAGCCAGUGUUUUGGUUUUGAAGCGCAGCACAAGUCGCGAUUCAAAGCUAUACGCCCGCUUCCACAAGCCUUUUUCACUUUUGACCUCGGAUCAGGUAGGGAUACCCGCUGAACUUAAGCAUAUCAAUAAGCGGAGGA